GCCUUUCCUCAGCCCUCUAACUUUUUUAAGAUCCUACAUAGAAGUGCACAAAUGAGUACUUGAAUCAGAUUCUAGAACCCAACUAGAAGAAGAAAAAACCAUUAGAUUAGUUUCAAUUAUGAGCAAGUCAGACAUACCUUCAAAAGAUCCAUCCUUCUUCCUAUUCUUUACAGUCGUCAGGUAGGCCGGACAGUUCCUUCUCCAAUGGCCUUCGAUAUUGCAAUG
rnacentral:lncRNA from 1 species